rnacentral:rRNA from 1 species
AGUGGGGAAUAUUGCGCAAUGGGGGAAACCCUGACGCAGCGACGCCGCGUGGGUGAUGAAGGCCUUCGGGUCGUAAAGCCCUGUCGGAGGGGAAGAAGGACUCUCGUGCAAAUAGUUCGAGGGUUUGACGGUACCCUUAGAGGAAGCACCGGCUAACUCCGUGCCAGCAGCCGCGGUAAUACGGAGGGUGCAAGCGUUGCUCGGAAUUACUGGGCGUAAAGGGCGUGUAGGCGGUUUCGUAUGUCUGGCGUGAAAGCCCCGGGCUCACCUCGGGAAGUGCGUCGGAAACUGCGAGACUAGAGUCCCGGAGAGGGAGGUGGAAUUCCAGGUGUAGCGGUGAAAUGCGUAGAUAUCUGGAAGAACACCGGUGGCGAAAGCGGCCUCCUGGACGGUGACUGACGCUGAGACGCGAAAGCGUGGGGAGCAAA